rnacentral:rRNA from 1 species
UAGUCACGCUGUAAACGAUGUCGAUUUGGAGUUUGGGGGCAUGACCCUUGGGCUCCGGAGCUAACGCGUUAAAUCGACCGCUGGGGAGUACGGCCGCAAGGUUAAAACUCAAAUGAAUUGACGGGGGCCCGCACAGCGGUGGAGCAUGUGGUUUAAUUCGAUGCAACGCGAAGAACCUUACCUGGUCUUGACAUCCAUAGAAUCUUUCAGAGAUGAGAGAGUGCCUUCGGGAGCUAUGAGACAGGUGCUGCAUGGCUGUCGUCAGCUCGUGUUGUGAAAUGUUGGGUUAAGUCCCGCAACGAGCGCAACCCCUAUCCUUUGUUGCCAGCACGUAAUGGUGGGAACUCAAAGGAGACUGCCGUUGAUAAAGCGGAGGAAGGUGGGGACGACGUCAAGUCAUCAUGGCCCUUACGACCAGGGCUACACACGUGCUACAAUGGCGUAUACAAAGGGAUGCGAAGGUGCGAACUGGAGCGGACCUCACAAAGUACGUCUAAGUCCGGAUUGGAGUCUGCAACUCGACUCCAUGAAGUCGGAAUCGCUAGUAAUCGUGAAUCAGAAUGUCACGGUGAAUACGUUCCCGGGCCUUGUACACACCGCCCGUCACACCAUGGGAGUGGGUUGCACCAGAAGUAGAUAGCUUAACCUUCGGGAGGGCGUUUACCACGGUGUGGUUCAUGACUGGGGUGAAGUCGUAACAAGGUAACCA